UUCUCUUCGAAUUAUUACAAUCACACAACACACAAUAUCUUCCUUUUUCUUCGAAUCUUAUGUAUAUAUCAAACAAGUAUUUGAAAAUUCAGGCCAAUCGGAGAAGCUACAGCUACGACCAUGAAAUCCACCGGAAAAUUCACAAGCUGUGAAAUCCGGUAUCAUCCCGUCACAAGAAAACAUUGACAAGUUUUUUUUGAGAGGUCCCAACAUUUACUUUAUUAAAGUUUGAAUCUUGGAACAUGAAUCUUUUAAGUUCUCUCGGUAUCAGACGAAAUCAAGGCUGAAGAUAGUUGAUGUGAGCCUUAAUUGCGUAUGCAUUUUUGUGUUCCCUUCUCUUCAGUUUAAGCCUAUUCUAUUUUCGUUUUUUCAUUUUAUAAAAAAGCAUUCCAGAUGCUGCGUAUGAGUGUGUGAGCUCAGCUUGCUUGAUGAAUUGCGUGGCAAUUGGUUACCUUUUUGAUUAAAAGAGAUCGUGCUUUUAGAUCCUAUUUGCAGGCUUACCUCUGGCCACAACAACCAAGGCGAUGGCUCAAGAUUUCAAACCCCAUUAAUAUGUUUCCUGUGCAAGCUUUUCUAGCUCAUCUUCCUGUCUCUCCAAAUUUGUGAGGGAAUGACAACACACGUGGGGUUCAUACGUCUGCCAAUCAUAGCUUCAAGACAGAAGCAGUACUGAAAAAAUGAAGUUAAGAAGAGAAACAUUUUUAUAAAGUGAGACCCUUUGUAUCAUGCACAAUGAAGUAUAUGAAGAAGAGAGACAGAACGCAUAUCACCCCAAUUCACAGAUCAGUACUCAAGCCCUGCAGAAAAUAACAGAUGGUCAGCUAAGAACUAAAUGGGGACCCUCCAGAGGGAGCGUCUCGAUAAAUCUGCAGUGCAGGUCCAAGCCAUGUUCAGGUCUAUGAAAGCUCAAGAGGAAGAAGCUCAUGGUGUGAUGCAGUAUUAAAGUUGGAGUAUAAGUGUGCAACAUAGACUACUGGUUUCUGUCUUUUUGUUGAAACAGCUUCUCAGACUUGAGAUCAAGAAAGAACUAUCUCAAAGAUUUGAGAGAGUGAAGUCUGUGGAUCUGCAUCAUAUAGAACCAUGUGAUAGAACUUGAUCAACCAAUACUCUCGGGCUUUGGACAGAAAGAGAAGAGACACAGACGCCACCAUGAGUGAAUGCCAGAAGUGUAGCAAGCCGGCGUUGCCAAAUUAUCUUUCCCUGCAUUACAAACUCGAUGCAUUUACCAUUUCCCUUUUGUUUUGUUUUUCAUGUUUCGCUUUUUAUUAAAAAACUUUCUGCAACCUAGAUCGGGAGCAAUGCUAUUUAUAUCUUUGCAAACAUGAAACAACUGUCUGAUAUUUUUCAAGCUUGGAUAUAUUCACAAGUACCUCGA